rnacentral:rRNA from 1 species
UGGGGAAUAUUGGACAAUGGGCGGAAGCCUGAUCCAGCCAUGCCGCGUGUGUGAAGAAGGCCUUUUGGUUGUAAAGCACUUUAAGCGCGGAGGAGGCUACUUGGAUUAAUACUCUAGGAUAGUGGACGUUACUCGCAGAAUAAGCAGCGGCUAACUCUGUGCCAGCAGCCGCGGUAAUACAGAGGGUGCGAGCGUUAAUCGGAUUUACUGGGCGUAAAGCGUGCGUAGGCGGCUUCUUAAGUCGGAUGUGAAAUCCCUGAGCUUAACUUAGGAAUUGCAUUCGAGACUGGGAAGCUAGAGUAUGGGAGAGGAUGGUAGAAUUCCAGGUGUAGCGGUGAAAUGCGUAGAGAUCUGGAGGAAUACCGAUGGCGAAGGCAGCCAUCUGGCCUAAUACUGACGCUGAGGUACGAAAGCAUGGGGAGCAAACAGG